rnacentral:rRNA from 1 species
CCUACGGGAGGCUGCAGUGAGGAAUAUUGGUCAAUGGGCGCGAGCCUGAACCAGCCAAGUAGCGUGAAGGAUGACUGCCCUACGGGUUGUAAACUUCUUUUAUAAAGGAAUAAAGUGAGGCACGUGUGCCUUUUUGUAUGUACUUUAUGAAUAAGGAUCGGCUAACUCUGUGCCAGCAGCCGCGGUAAUACGGAGGAUCCGAGCGUUAUCCGGAUUUAGUGGGUUUAAAGGGAGCGUAGAUGGGUUGUUAAGUCAGUUGUGAAAGUUUGCGGCUCAACCGUAAAAUUGCAAUUGAUACUGGCAGCCUGGAGUGCAGUAGGGGUAGGCGGAAUUCGUGGUGUAGCGGUGAAAUGCUUAGAUAUCACGAAGAACUCCGAUUGCGAAGGCAGCUUACUAAACUGCCACUGACAUUGAGGCUCGAAAGUGUGGGUAGCAAACAGGAUUAGAUACCCCAGUAGUC